AGAACUCCUGCGCAUUGGCGUGGCAGGCUGUCAUGGGGUCGUCUCUUCAUUAUCCCUCCCGUCUGGCGUGAAAUUUCGCCUGGGAGAGAUUGUGCGKACGCAUCUUUGUCUGUGUGGUUCUAUCCAAGCGAGGAACAAGAUCGGUUCAAUGAUGUAUGCUUGUGCUUGCCCUGUUGAUAAUUUUAUUGUCUCUAGGGCAGCUUAAUUGUUGGCAAAGCCCUUGUGCGUCCCACGGCGUUUAUGCCGUGGCAAUACACGCGGGUGUUGUCGGCUCUUGCGGAUUCUGUGUCCAUGAUAAGUUCUGCUGGCCAUCGAUGGCCUGCAAGCUUCAGAAGGUCCCUUUUACGGAUCAUCAGUCCGUCGAUCGCCUGCCAUGUCUCUUUUGUCGUCAUGUCGGAGCGGUGUGUGGGUUGCCUCCCUGACCGAAUAAGCAGCGAUUUGCCGGCUACUGUUGUGAGAUGGGUCUCCCCUCCGGGGCGACUCCUGAAUCAAUGUAUCGGCUCU
rnacentral:misc_RNA from 1 species